CACUGCUAUUGGGAUUCGACUAAGCCAUGCGAGUCGAGAGGGUUCGGCCCUCGGCUGACGGCUCAGUAACACGUGGAUAAUCUGCCCUUAGGUGAAGGAUAAUCUCGGGAAACUGAGGAUAAUACUCCAUAGAUCUAGGAUGCUGGAAUGCAUCUAGAUUGAAAGCCCCGGCGCCUAAGGAUGAGUCUGCGGACUAUCAGGUUGUAGUCAGGGUAAAGACCUGACUAGCCUACGACGGAUACGGGUUGUGAGAGCAAUGACCCGGAGACGAUAUCUGAGACACGAUAUCGGGCCCUACGGGGCGCAGCAGGCGCGAAAACUUCACACUGUGCGAAAGCGCGAUGAGGGACUCCCAAGUGUUUGCUCGUAAGAGUAAACUGUUUCUUUGUUUAAAACGCAGAGAGAGUAAGGGCUGGGUAAGACGGGUGCCAGCCGCCGCGGUAAUACCUGCAGCUCAAGUGGUGAUCAUUAUUAUUGGGCCUAAAACGUCCGUAGCCGGUUUAGUAAAUGCCUGGGUAAAUCGUGUAGCUUAACUAUACGACUUCCGGGUAGACUGCUAAACUUGAGACCGGGAGAGGCUAGAGGUACUCCUGGGGUAGAGGUGAAAUUCUGUAAUCCUAGGGGGACCACCAGUGGCGAAGGCGUCUAGCUAGAACGGGUCUGACGGUGAGGGACGAAGUCCUGGGGCACAAACCGGAUUAGAUACCCGGGUAGUCCAGGGUGUGAACGCUGCUUGCUUGAUGUUAGUUGGGCUUCGAGCCCCACUAGUGUCGGAGAGAAGUUGUUAAGCAAGCUGCCUGGGAAGUACGGUCGCAAGGCUGAAACUUAAAGGAAUUGGCGGGGGAGCACAGCAACGGGUGGAGCGUGCGGUUUAAUUGGAUUCAACGCCGGAAAACUCACCGGAGGCGACGGUUACAUGAAGGCCAGGCUGAUGACCUUGCCUGAUUUUCCGAGAGGUGGUGCAUGGCCGCCGUCAGUUCGUACCGUAAGGCGUUCUGUUAAGUCAGACAACGAACGAGACCCUCAUCUUUAAUUGCUACUAGUAAGUUUGCUUACUGGGCACAUUAAAGAAACCGCUGGCGAUAAGUCAGAGGAAGGCGAGGGCAACGGUAGGUCAGUAUGCCCUGAAUCCUCCGGGCUACACGCGCGCUACAAGGCUAGGACAAUGAGCUUCAACACCGAGAGGUGAAGGUAAUCUCGAAACCUAGUCGUAGUUCGGAUUGAGG
rnacentral:rRNA from 1 species